GAAACCAUAAGAUCAUGACCUGAGCCCAAGUUAGGUGCUUAACCAACUGAGCCGUUCAGCUGGUUAUUUUUAGAAGAAAUGUUUUUGGUCACUAUAUUGUAUUAAUAUUGCUUUCUCAUGAAUUAUUAUUCCCCAUGACCAAUCUGCUCUUUAUUCUAAAUCCAGUCCUGAAACCAAAUUAAACACGGUUAAAAAAAAAAAAAAUAAGGGUAGAAAAAGAAAAACGAACAAACUGAAUAUAGUUCUUCUAAUUCCAGGAGUAUCUCUUUUGUAUUAUCUUUACCAUAUAAGGCAAGUUAUGACAUAAAAUGUCUUAUAAAUUCUCAAUGGCUAAAGGGGAUUCUAGACUAUUGAAGUUACUUUUCUUUCACCACACUAGUGUUGUUAUAAUUAUCCUACAUUGUAUUCUUCAGUGAACCUCUGGACAAAAUUGAAUCAGUUUCAAUCCAGGCAGGUUGGGCCUGGGGAUAUCUGCAGCAUCUACAAGAAGAGGAGAAGAAGCCUUCAAACAACUAUAACAGUGAGACUUGUACUAAAACAAUUUUGUAGACAAAAUUGAGGGAUUUCAAAGAUUAAUGGCAAAAUCAACAAAAGUAGAGAAAAAUUCAGCCUACAAGAGGUUCCAGAGAGUUCCCUAGCUUCUUCCAGCAUGUGAGGAUACAAUCGGAAGUCUGAGACAUGGAAGACGGUCCUCACCAACCCUGCUGGCACUCUGAGCUCAGACUUCCAUCCUCCAGAACUGUGAGAAAUAAAUUUCUGUUGUUUAUAAGCCACCCAAUCUGUGAUAUUUUGUUAGAGCAGACAAAUGUACUAUGACAAGGACAAUGCUGAAUGGUGUGUUUGCGUGUGCUUAAAAAGGGUUACAAAGAAGAGACUUAAAGAAGGACCCACUGUUUUGGGCCAAAUUCCUUUUAUCUUCAAAAAAACAACAAAAAAAGUAAAAAAACAAAAAAGUAUUUUUCCUCGUUCUUUUUCCAAAGUGUGGCUUUCAUGUGUACUUUUUAAUAGAAAGGAUUCUUUGGCAAUGAAAAAGCUAGUCUUAAUUGACUUCCCACUCUCCCCAGCAGCAAGUGACUUGCUGGUGACUAGGGCUGUAAAGGAACAGCUCCUCCUGGCAAGCACGGUCUUCGCCACCCACCCCCCCCCCCCCACUAAAAUGUCAUAUAUUCACAUAGUGCAAAAUUUUCAAAAAAUGUAAAAAGGCAUAUAGUGAAAACUUGUCCUCUUGUCCCGUCCACCGUUUACACAGCUCUCUUUUGCACACACACACACAGCCAUAAUUAAUUCUUAUAUAUUCUUGACAGAUUAUUCUUAACAGAUUUCUUUAUGAAUUGACCAGAAAAUAUCAAUAUAUAGUUGUAUUCUUCCUCUUUUUAUAAAAAAUAGCACAUAAUAUACACUGGCUUAUAUCAUUUUUUUCACAUUUAAAUAUACAUCUUAAUGAUCAAUACCAGAGAGCUUCCUCAGUUUUUUAAACCACUGUGUAGUACUUCACUCUGUAAAUGUUCAAGAACUUUUUAACUAGUCUCCUAUUGAUGGGCAUGUGAGGUGUUUCCAGUUUUAUAUGUCAAGCAAUACUGACCUAGAUAACAUUACACAUAAUGUCAUUUCACAUGUGGGCAAGUAUAUCUGCAGGAUAAAUUCCUGAAAAUGUGAUGUAUGUGCAGUUUUAAUAAACCUUGAAAAUGUCUUUCCAUCA